rnacentral:tRNA from 1 species
GCGGACGUGGCGAAACUGGUAGACGCAAGGGACUUAAAAUCCCUCGGCCUAGGUCAUGCGGGUUCGACCCCCGCCGUCCGCA